UAUAACCAGAGCCCCUUGUGCUUGUAUCCCCAUAAUCGUGUGGGCCUGGAGGCACCACGGGUACAUAUGCAUAUUGCAUGUGUGACUCGCGUAUAAGGCCACGUUCGAUGCCCCGGCUCUAAUCAUCGUUUUGCGACAGUCGAGAGAGAUUGCUACCAUGACACGCCGACGAAGCGGACGAAGCGGACGAAGAGGAAGAGGCCGAGUCAAUGAUCAUCGGGAUCCUGUGAUUAGUGCGUAGGAAUUGCUCACGCGUUCACUGUGGACAAUGCAUGGUUGACCCUUUGAGUCACGGCGAUUCUUAUCUCAACUUUAACCUGUGCCGACAACAGGGUGGAUUUCCUCACUUGAUAUCGCCACACUGGGCCCGUUAUUUUAAAUGAAAAAAUUUCGAGUCCAGAUUCGUAAUCAGCGACCCAAGAAUGGAAUUGAAAAAUCAACUGUUCGACGGCACGAGUUAUGAGUCGAGAUAAAAAUCUGAAAAAAUGUGGUAUUUAUUUUAGAAUUAUUUGAAGCCGAGUCGGGGGGUGAGAAAUUCGAAAUUGAAAAAUAACAUUUUCAAGAUCCACCCUAACGUAUACUCUGCCUAUAUUAGGAACUCGGGCGAUAUCUCCAUCCGGCAAGUUUAUCAGGCGUAGCUGCAGCGUGGCCACGGACGCCCUUCUACGCCGACGAAGGCACGAAACACAAACGAAGGAAGACCCUGUGCGAAUUUCAAUACAUGCCUACGUGUAGGAUGGGGUAGCGAUACAGACGCGUGGAAUAAAUAGCAACGUAUAACGCGGCAGACUGUCUGCCACCCCGAGUUCUCCCCUCUGUGUUCGCCCUCCUCGCAAUCCCCAUUGCCCAAACUAUUCUCCGAUCCUUUCCUUCAGCCCCGGCUGGCACAUGCGGCGCUAUAAGGGAACGCUGCUUUCUGCUUCGCAAUCCUUUGUCGUAUACUGUUAACAGCCAUCCAGUCAGCCAGCCAGCCAGCCAGCCAGCCAGCCAGCCAAGCCCCUCUCGCAACUCCGAAGUUAGUUUUAAGUGAAAUAUGUCAAAAACGCAAAUCCUGGGUCGUUCCGCGUAACGUACCUACUCGGUAGAAAUGUGCUUAAGGUUGUUAUGUCCUUGCUAUACGCGGGGCGAUCAACGUCUACGAAAUCACGGCGGAGCUGCAAUGCGAAAAACAAUGUGGACCCUUGCUUGCCACACUGGGGUCCACUGGGUCCGUUUGAACGCCAGUGACAAAUAUCGUUG
rnacentral:lncRNA from 1 species